CGCCUCUUACUCCAUCAUGUCCUACCUGCCAUGGAUACUGAUUAACGCGGCUCAUCUGACCCAGUACAGCAGGCAGAUAAUCACUUGUUCUUUAGCAGGACUACGCAUGCGCGGCAUCACGAGGUCUCACUCAUCACCCUUUUUCCCAAUCAGUGAAACUGAUCUCCCCGUGAAGAAGCGGGGAUAAAAAUAUAAGACGAGAAGACCCCAUGGAGCUUUAAACCCAAUAGACACCUCUGACUAAUCUAACCCAAAACACUUCUUAAGUUUGUCUAUUGGUUUUAGGUUGGGGUGACCACGGAGUACAAUAAAUCCUCCAUGACGUACGGGACUUCCCUCUUAUCCUUGAACCACAUUUCUAAGAAUCAACAAAUUGACGUUUGAUGAUCCAAUAUAUUGAUCAACGGACCAAGUUACCCUGGGGAUAACAGCGCAAUCCAUUUAAGAGCCCCUAUCGCCAAAUGGGUUUACGACCUCGAAGUUGGAUCAGGGUAUCCAGUGUGCAGCAGCUACUAAUGGUUAGUUUGUUCAACAAUUAAAACCCU
rnacentral:rRNA from 1 species